AAAAAAAAGAGUUUAAACAGUGAUGGAAGAACUGGGAUGCUUAACAGAAGAACAAUAACUGGAUGCCUCCUCUGAAGAAGAGGGGUGUGCUGAGGCUUUGUGAGGAAGAACCAGUCCCAGUGAGUAGAAGGGACCAGAGGGAAGAUGAGUGAUUCAUAAACUGAACAAACUUUCUAGAGAGCAGGUGAAAUAGUACUGGUUGCCUCUAUGGGGUGGUCAAAUGGAGACUGAAAGAUAAUGUGUCAGGGUAUGUAAAGGGGAUAAUUAAAUAAAAUUUGGGGUACUUGAUCUUUAAGGAGACUUUUUAAC
rnacentral:lncRNA from 1 species